rnacentral:rRNA from 1 species
GAUGGAUCUGCGGCCUAUCAGGUAGUAGUGGGUGUAACGUACCUACUAGCCUACGACGGGUACGGGUUGUGAGAGCAAGAGCCCGGAGAUGGAUUCUGAGACAUGAAUCCAGGCCCUACGGGGCGCAGCAGGCGCGAAAACUUUACAAUGCGGGAAACCGCGAUAAGGGGACACUGAGUGCCAGCACCAUGUGUUGGCUGUCCGCAUGUAUAAAUCACAUGUGUCAGCAAGGGCCGGGCAAGACCGGUGCCAGCCGCCGCGGUAACACCGGCGGCCCGAGUGGUGGCCAUUAUUAUUGGGUCUAAAGGGUCCGUAGCCGGUUUGAUCAGUCUUCCGGGAAAUCUGACAGCUCAACUGUUAGGCUUCUGGGGGAUACUGUCAGACUUGGAACCGGGAGAGGUAAGAGGUACUACAGGGGUAGGAGUGAAAUCUUGUAAUCCUUGUGGGACCACCAGUGGCGAAGGCGUCUUACCAGAACGGGUUCGACGGUGAGGGACGAAAGCUGGGG